GUGGGGAAUCUUGCGCAAUGGGGGAAACCCUGACGCAGCAACGCCGCGUGGGUGAUGAAGGCCUUCGGGUCGUAAAGCCCUGUCAGGUGGAAAGAACAGUGGCGAUGUAAAUAACUUCGCCAUUUGACGGUACCACCAGAGGAAGCACCGGCUAACUCCGUGCCAGCAGCCGCGGUAAUACGGAGGGUGCAAGCGUUGUUCGGAAUUAUUGGGCGUAAAGCGCGUGUAGGCGGUCGGGUAAGUCAGGUGUGAAAGCCUUUCGCUUAACGGAAGAAGUGCAUUUGAAACUGCUCGGCUUGAGUACGGGAGAGGAGAGUGGAAUUCCCGGUGUAGAGGUGAAAUUCGUAGAUAUCGGGAGGAACACCGGUGGCGAAGGCGGCUCUCUGGUCCGAUACUGACGCUGAGACGCGAAAGCGUGGGGAGCAAACAGGAUUAGAAACCCGGGUAGUCC
rnacentral:rRNA from 1 species